rnacentral:misc_RNA from 1 species
AUUUUCAUUUCGUAUCUUUUCAGUUUUGUUCUUGGAGUCAUCGCGUUUAGUUAUUUAAAAUUUUUAACUCGCGUUCAGUAGCAAAUCUUGAAAUAUUGAGUGUACCUAAGUAAAAUACACACAAUUAAAAAAAAAAGAUAUAUAUAUAUAUAUAUAUAUAUAUUUAAUACUUCCUUUUUGAACUUGAAAUAAUCGCGACUUAAGUAAAACGUGAAACAUUGAAUUAACUAUCAAAAUUAAUUGCAGAAACGUGCUUAAUUCGCUUAUAAACAAGUUAACUAUAAAUGCAUACAUACAAACAACUGUGUAUUUGUAAUUUGAUCGCCUGUGCAUUAUUGAAAAAAGACAAUAUAUUUAAAAUAUAAGAAAACCAAAGUGUGCAAUACUUCAUUGGAAAAUAAAAAAAAAAAUUGAAAUUGGCAAGCGAAUUUUUAUUUAGCAAGCCAAUCAAAAAUAUCCCCCAUUCUUAAGGAUUUAAACUAGACCGUAGAUUUUUUUUUUUAGAAAAUAAAAACCCAAUUUAAAAAUGAGUCUGUGUGAUACUAACAUCGUGACAAUGCAGGCUACUCCCCAACAACAACAUCAAAGUACACAAAGUAUAGCCGACUACUUGGCUCAAUUACUGAAGGAUCGUAAACAAAUGGCAGCGUUUCCAAAUGUCUUCAAUCAUGUGGAACGCCUACUCGAUGAAGAAAUUGCGAGAGUACGUGCCUCACUAUUUCAGAUAAAUGGCGUCAAGAAGGAACCACUCACGCUGCCAGAACCUGAAGGCGCCGCUGUACAGUUGAAUGAAAAAGUAUAUGUACCAGUGCGAGAACAUCCAGAUUUCAACUUUGUUGGCAGAAUUUUGGGGCCUCGUGGCAUGACAGCUAAGCAAUUGGAACAAGAGACCGGUUGCAAAAUUAUGGUUCGAGGCAAAGGCUCGAUGAGAGAUAAAAAGAAGGAGGAUGCAAAUCGCGGCAAACCCAAUUGGGAACACUUGUCCGAUGAUCUGCAUGUUUUGAUCACUGUCGAGGACACAGAGAAUCGUGCCAAAGUCAAAUUAGCACAGGCCGUUGCUGAAGUACAAAAGCUUCUAGUGCCGCAAGCUGAAGGCGAAGAUGAACUUAAAAAACGUCAACUCAUGGAAUUAGCUAUAAUUAAUGGCACUUAUAGGGAUACGUCUGCGAAAAAUGCCAUUCCAGCCUGCGAGGAGGAUUGGCGUCGUGUUAUUGCUGCAUCGGCUGAGAGUCGCUUAUUGACGCCCGCACUACCUGGUCUAGCACCGCAGAUCCGUGCACCACAAGCCACAACCUUGGGUGCGCCAUUGAUACUCUCACAACGCAUGACCGUGCCGACUACAGCGGCGAGUAUACUAUCCGGCCAAGCUGCUCCCGCUGCCUUUGAGAAUCCCGCACAUGGCAUGAUAUUCGCACCGUAUGGCGAUUAUGCGAAUUAUGCUGCUCUCGCUGCCGGUAAUCCAUUGCUGACGGAAUACACAGAUCAUAGCGCUAUCAGCGGUAAUUGUGUAUAUACACCUGUUUACUACCACCAACCAACCACAACCUUCGAUUACAUUCGUGUGCCACACAACGGCAUUUUAAACGGAACGUGUUUGGGUAGAAAGCAUUCGAACGCGUCCUCAUCGCUAUCCACCUCAACAUCCUCUACCUUUAUGCCUCUUAGUUGAAUACUGUGUUGCUGCUGAUGAAUGGAUGGGGGUAGAUGUAUAUAUGUAUUUGUCCAGAGUGGCGUUGUUGGCGCGCAAACAAUCAGUCAAUUGAACCAGUACUCAAUUAAGCUACCAAAUGUCAGGAGUCUACUACUUUCUGCACAACCAUUGAACAACUAAUAGGGGAACCGGAACAUAUGACAAUAACAAAAGAGCAGUGCUAUCAACAAUGCUGCCCGUACAUUAAAAACAUUCGCUUUAUUAAAAGAUAAAAAUGUUACUUAAAUAAAUCGCAAAGGCAAUCGUAACGCUACAUUUACACAAAGUAAUGCCAGAAAAUCAAUAUACAAUUCGUCAAAAUCGCUCAGUUUCCGUUUUCAAAUCACGCGCAGAAAAGCCAGUCGUAGAAAUAAACAUUAACACAGGUGGAGAAAAGGCUGCAGGAACACACUCUUUUUAAGUUAAGCAAUAAAAUUUUGAAAGAAAAAAA